AAGCCUCGCCUGUUUACCAAAAACACCGCCUCCUGAACACCACCCAUAGGAGGUCCCGCCUGCCCUGUGAUAAUAUAUUUAACGGCCGCGGUAUUUUGACCGUGCAAAGGUAGCGCAAUCACUUGUCUUUUAAAUGAAGACCUGUAUGAAUGGCAUAACGAGGGCUUAACUGUCUCCCCUCCCCAGUCAAUGAAAUUGAUCUUCCCGUGCAGAAGCGGGAAUAAUAAUAUAAGACGAGAAGACCCUGUGGAGCUUUAGACAAUAAGCAGCCCCUGUAAAGACACCUUACUUAACAAGCUAAAACAAAAGGGAGCCUACUUUGCUGUCUUUGGUUGGGGCGACCGCGGGGGAACAAAAAGCCCCCAUGUGGAAUUAGAAAAUUUUCUUUAAACCAAGAGUGUCAACUCAAAGUAACAGAACAUCUGACCUAAAAUGACCCGGCUAUGCCGAUCAACGAAACCAGUUACCCCAGGGAUAACAGCGCAAUCCUCUCCCAGAGCCCAUAUCGACGAGGGGGUUUACGACCUCGAUGUUGGAUCAGGACAUCCUAAUGGUGCAGCCGCUAUUAAGGGUUCGUUUGUUCAACGAUUAAAGUCCUACGUGAUCUGAGUUCAG
rnacentral:rRNA from 1 species